UACAGAGGUCCCAAGCGUUGUUCGGAUUCACUGGGCGUAAAGGGUGCGUAGGCGGUUCGUUGUGUCUGUGGUGAAAGCCCCGGGCUUAACCUGGGAAUGGCCAUGGAAACUGGCGAGCUGGAGUGUGGCAGAGGGGGGUGGAAUUCCGCGUGUAGCAGUGAAAUGCGUAGAGAUGCGGAGGAACACCGAUGGCGAAGGCAGCCCCCUGGGCUAACACUGACGCUGAGGCGCGAAGGUCAGGGGAGCAAACGGG
rnacentral:rRNA from 1 species